rnacentral:rRNA from 1 species
UCUACAGGCUUAACACAUGCAAGUCGAGGGACAGCAUGGUCUUAGCUUGCUAAGGCCGAUGGCGACCGGCGCACGGGUGAGUAACGCGUAUCCAACCUGCCUUACACUCUUGGACAGCCUUCUGAAAGGGAGAUUAAUACAAGAUGUUAUCAUGAGUAAGCAUUUUCGCAUGAUUAAAGGUUUACCGGUGUAAGAUGGGGAUGCGUUCCAUUAGAUAGUAGGCGGGGUAACGGCCCACCUAGUCUUCGAUGGAUAGGGGUUCUGAGAGGAAGGUCCCCCACAUUGGAACUGAGACACGGUCCAAACUCCUACGGGAGGCAGCAGUGAGGAAUAUUGGUCAAUGGACGAGAGUCUGAACCAGCCAAGUAGCGUGAAGGAUGAAGGUUCUAUGGAUUGUAAACUUCUUUUAUACGGGAAUAAACGAAUCCACGUGUGGAUUUUUGCAUGUACCGUAUGAAUAAGGAUCGGCUAACUCCGUGCCAGCAGCCGCGGUAAUACGGAGGAUCCGAGCGUUAUCCGGAUUUAUUGGGUUUAAAGGGAGCGUAGAUGGAUGUUUAAGUCAGUUGUGAAAGUUUGCGGCUCAACCGUAAAAUUGCAGUUGAUACUGGAUAUCUUGAGUGCAGUUGAGGCAGGCGGAAUUCGUGGUGUAGCGGUGAAAUGCUUAGAUAUCACGAAGAACUCCGAUUGCGAAGGCAGCCUGCUAAGCUGCAACUGACAUUGAGGCUCGAAAGUGUGGGUAUCAAACAGGAUUAGAUACCCUGGUAGUCCACACGGUAAACGAUGAAUACUCGCUGUUUGCGAUAUACUGCAAGCGGCCAAGCGAAAGCGUUAAGUAUUCCACCUGGGGAGUACGCCGGCAACGGUGAAACUCAAAGGAAUUGACGGGGGCCCGCACAAGCGGAGGAACAUGUGGUUUAAUUCGAUGAUACGCGAGGAACCUUACCCGGGCUUAAAUUGCAGAUGAAUUACGGUGAAAGCCGUAAGCCGCAAGGCAUCUGUGAAGGUGCUGCAUGGUUGUCGUCAGCUCGUGCCGUGAGGUGUCGGCUUAAGUGCCAUAACGAGCGCAACCCUUGUUGUCAGUUACUAACAGGUUCCGCUGAGGACUCUGACAAGACUGCCAUCGUAAGAUGUGAGGAAGGUGGGGAUGACGUCAAAUCAGCACGGCCCUUACGUCCGGGGCUACACACGUGUUACAAUGGGGGGUACAGAGGGCCGCUACCACGCGAGUGGAUGCCAAUCCCAAAAACCUCUCUCAGUUCGGACUGGAGUCUGCAACCCGACUCCACGAAGCUGGAUUCGCUAGUAAUCGCGCAUCAGCCACGGCGCGGUGAAUACGUUCCCGGGCCUUGUACACACCGCCCGUCAAGCCAUGGGAGCCGGGGGUACCUGAAGUGCGUAACCGCGAGGAGCGCCCUAGGGUAAAACUGGUGACUGGGGCUAAG